rnacentral:misc_RNA from 1 species
AUCGCUCGCCCCCAACCAUGCAUUCUCAUGGGAUGCUUGGYAUCGGGGCGGAKAUUGGCCUCCCGUGCYUUUGGUGUGGUUGGCCUAAAUCGGAGUCACCUUCGGUGGACGCACGACUAGUGGUGGUUGAAAAGACCCUCGUCYUGUGUUGUGYGUCGUAAGCUGUGAGGGAGGCCCUUCAUGAAGACCCCAAUGUGGUGUCUUGCGACGAURCUUCGACC